AUUGAACGCUGGCGGCAUGCUUUACACAUGCAAGUCGGACGGCAGCACAGAGAAGCUUGCUUCUUGGGUGGCGAGUGGCGAACGGGUGAGUAAUAUAUCGGAACGUACCGAGUAAUGGGGGAUAACUAAUCGAAAGAUUAGCUAAUACCGCAUAUUCUCUGAGGAGGAAAGCAGGGGACCUUUGGGCCUUGCGUUAUUCGAGCGGCCGAUAUCUGAUUAGCUAGUUGGUGGGGUAAAGGCCUACCAAGGCGACGAUCAGUAGCGGGUCUGAGAGGAUGAUCCGCCACACUGGGACUGAGACACGGCCCAGACUCCUACGGGAGGCAGCAGUGGGGAAUUUUGGACAAUGGGCGCAAGCCUGAUCCAGCCAUGCCGCGUGUCUGAAGAAGGCCUUCGGGUUGUAAAGGACUUUUGUCAGGGAAGAAAAGGCUGUUGCUAAUAUCGACAGCUGAUGACGGUACCUGAAGAAUAAGACGGCUA
rnacentral:rRNA from 1 species